rnacentral:rRNA from 1 species
GACGAACGCUGGCGGCGCGCCUAACACAUGCAAGUCGAACGAGCGAGAGAGAGCUUGCUUUCUCGAGCGAGUGGCGAACGGGUGAGUAACGCGUGAGGAACCUGCCUCAAAGAGGGGGACAACAGUUGGAAACGACUGCUAAUACCGCAUAAGCCCACGGUGCCGCAUGGCACAGAGGGAAAAGGAGCAAUCCGCUUUGAGAUGGCCUCGCGUCCGAUUAGCUAGUUGGUGAGGUAAUGGCCCACCAAGGCGACGAUCGGUAGCCGGACUGAGAGGUUGAACGGCCACAUUGGGACUGAGACACGGCCCAGACUCCUACGGGAGGCAGCAGUGGGGAAUAUUGCACAAUGGGGGAAACCCUGAUGCAGCGACGCCGCGUGGAGGAAGAAGGUCUUCGGAUUGUAAACUCCUGUUGUUGGGGAAGAUAAUGACGGUACCCAACAAGGAAGUGACGGCUAACUACGUGCCAGCAGCCGCGGUAAAACGUAGGUCACAAGCGUUGUCCGGAAUUACUGGGUGUAAAGGGAGCGCAGGCGGGAAGACAAGUUGGAAGUGAAAUCUAUGGGCUCAACCCAUAAACUGCUUUCAAAACUGUUUUUCUUGAGUAGUGCAGAGAUAGGCGGAAUUCCCGGUGUAGCGGUGGAAUGCGUAGAUAUCGGGAGGAAGACCAGUGGCGAAGGCGGCCUACUGGGCACCAACUGACGCUGAGGCUCGAAAGUGUGGGUAGCAAACAGGAUUAGAUACCCUGGUAGUCCACACCGUAAACGAUGAUUACUAGGUGUUGGAGGAUUGACCCCUUCAGUGCCGCAGUUAACACAAUAAGUAAUCCACCUGGGGAGUACGACCGCAAGGUUGAAACUCAAAGGAAUUGACGGGGGCCCGCACAAGCAGUGGAGUAUGUGGUUUAAUUCGACGCAACGCGAAGAACCUUACCAAGUCUUGACAUCCCUUGACAGGCAUAGAAAUAUGUUUUCUCUUCGGAGCAAGGAGACAGGUGGUGCAUGGUUGUCGUCAGCUCGUGUCGUGAGAUGUUGGGUUAAGUCCCGCAACGAGCGCAACCCUUAUGGUCAGUUACUACGCAAGAGGACUCUGGCCAGACUGCCGUUGACAAAACGGAGGAAGGUGGGGAUGACGUCAAAUCAUCAUGCCCUUUAUGACUUGGGCUACACACGUACUACAAUGGCGUUAAACAAAGAGAAGCAAGACCGCGAGGUGGAGCAAAACUCAGAAACAACGUCCCAGUUCGGACUGCAGGCUGCAACUCGCCUGCACGAAGUCGGAAUUGCUAGUAAUCGUGGAUCAGCAUGCCACGGUGAAUACGUUCCCGGGCCU